AGGACGAACGCUGGCGGCGUGCUUAACACAUGCAAGUCGAGCGAGGCCCUUCCUUCGGGAAGGUGCCCUAGCGGCGAACGGGUGAGUAACACGUGGGCAACCUGCCCCUAGCACUGGGAUAACUCCGGGAAACCGGGGCUAAUACCGGAUACGACCUCUGAGGGCAUCCUCCGGAGGUGGAAAGCAUUGUGGCUAGGGAUGGGCCCGCGGCCUAUCAGCUUGUUGGUGAGGUAACGGCCCACCAAGGCGACGACGGGUAGCCGGCCUGAGAGGGCGACCGGCCACACUGGGACUGAGACACGGCCCAGACUCCUACGGGAGGCAGCAGUGGGGAAUAUUGCACAAUGGGCGAAAGCCUGAUGCAGCGACGCCGCGUGAGGGAUGACUGCCUUCGGGUUGUAACCUCUUUCAGCAGGGACGAAGCGAAAGUGACGGUACCUGCAGAAGAGCACCGGCCAACUCGCGCCAGCAGCCGCGGUAA
rnacentral:rRNA from 1 species